GGCUCCGGCCCUAUCAGCCUGAAGGCGCCCGAUCUCGUCUGAUCUUGGAAGCUAAGCAGGGUCGGGCCUGGUUAGGAUCUUGGAUGGGAGACCACCUGGGAAUCCCGGGUGCUCGAGGCU
ensembl:rRNA 5S_rRNA 5S ribosomal RNA